GAGGAUCCGGUCUCAAGAAGAGUGGGAAGAAAUGAGUCUGCCCACCCUUACAAAAUGCCCAGAAAAUGAUAAUCUAUCUAUCUACCUAUCUGUGUCGCGCUUCACUAUCUGUGGUUGUAAAAGACUACCUUCAGUUGUGUUGAGCAUUAAGCAUCGUCGCAGUCGGUUGCUGAAACCUAUGGCAUUUGAGCAGCCUCUUCUGCUUAUCUGUGAUGCAGAUGGUCCCUAGCUAAUAAUGACAUGACUUGUUUUGUGAUGAAAAUCUCUAAUGUGUGCAUCAAGUCUUCCAAUUU
rnacentral:lncRNA from 1 species